GACGAACGCUGGCGGCGUGCUUAACACAUGCAAGUCGAACGGUGACCCAGGGCUUGCCCUGGUGAUCAGUGGCGAACGGGUGAGUAACACGUGGGCAACCUGCCCCCUGACUUCGGGAUAACUCCUCGAAAGAGGAGCUAAUACCGGAUACGACCACUUCGGACAUCCGAUGGUGGUGGAAAGUUUUUCGGUCAGGGAUGGGCCCGCGGCCUAUCAGCUAGUUGGUGGGGUAAUGGCCUACCAAGGCGACGACGGGUAGCCGGCCUGAGAGGGCGACCGGCCACACUGGGACUGAGACACGGCCCAGACUCCCUACGGGAGGCAGCAGUGGGGAAUAUUGCGCAAUGGGCGAAAGCCUGACGCAGCGACGCCGCGUGAGGGAUGAAGGCCUCGGGUUGUAAACCUCUUUCAGCAGGGACGAAGCGAAAGUGACGGUACCUGCAGAAGAAGCACCGGCUAACUACGUGCCAGCAGCCGCGGU
rnacentral:rRNA from 1 species